rnacentral:rRNA from 1 species
UACGGGGGGAGCAAGCGUUGUUCGGAUUUACUGGGCGUAAAGGGCGCGUAGGCGGUCGUGACAAGUCACUUGUGAAAUCUCCGGGCUUAACUCGGAACGGUCAAGUGAUACUGUCGGACUAGAGUACAGAAGGGGCAACUGGAAUUCUCGGUGUAGCGGUGAAAUGCGUAGAUAUCGAGAGGAACACCUGCGGCGAAGGCGGGUUGCUGGGCUGAUACUGACGCUGGAGGAGCGAAAGCGUGGGGAGCGAACAGG